AACUCCGUGGCGCAAUGGUGGUGCGUCCGACUCCAGAUCAGAAGGUUGCGUGUUCAAAUCACGUCAGGGUCA
rnacentral:tRNA from 1 species